AGAAGCUAACACGGUUCAGCAAAGAGGCCUGUGGUCCACCUUUAUUAUGGUUCUACUCACCACAGCUAAGGUGUGGAACCAACCUAAGGUCUGUGAUGGUCUUAUUGGAGGCGGCAUGUCACUGGGGGUGGACUUUGAGGUUUUGCAUGCUCUCUUCCUUUCUCUCGGCUUCCUACUCACAAGUCAAGACACAGGAGCUCUUAAACGUUCCUCUGUUCCACCAUCAUGGACUUCGAACCUCUGAGACUUCCCCCUCCCUCAUCAGACCAAAGAGCAAUCAGGGUUCCCUGCCCUGUGGGAAGUCCAAGGACCACCCACCUCCAUCCAGGUCUAGUAAGGUUGAGAACCACGGCUGGAACAACUGAAGCAGUCUGUCAGUCUCCCCAAACUCCAGCACCUUCCACUGCAGAACCCA